UACAGAGGUCUCAAGCGUUGUUCGGAUUCAUUGGGCGUAAAGGGUGCGUAGGUGGCGCGCUAAGUCAGGUGUGAAAUUUCGGAGCUUAACUCCGAAACUGCAUUCGAUACUGGCGUGCUUGAGGACUGGAGAGGAGACUGGAAUUCAUGGUGUAGCAGUGAAAUGCGUAGAGAUCAUGAGGAAGACCAGUGGCGAAGGCGGGUCUCUGGACAGUUCCUGACACUGAGGCACGAAGGCCAGGGGAGCAAACGGG
rnacentral:rRNA from 1 species